CGCGGGCAUUUGCAGUUGCUUUCCGACCUAGCACCCUCUCUGUCUGGCGCCUUCCUUGAUUCUAUGCUUUCUCUAGGCUUUCUCCCUAAACUGUCUCUCGACUCUUUCUGACUGUCUCUGAGAGGUCCUUGGGUUCUCUCUGAGAUGUCUUUGAGCGGUUUCUGGGCUAUCUCUGAAAGGUGUCUGAACAGUCUCUGGGCUCUCUCUGGACUCUUGUUAGGCUCUCUCUGAGUUGUCUCUGAGCACUCUAAGGGCUCUCCCUAAACUUCCUCUGGCUCUUUCUAGAGCCCUCCUGCUCCUGGUCCCCAGCCCCCACAUCCCCACCACUAUCACCACCCAGCUCCCUCCUGGGCUCCUUGACUGCGCCUCCAGCUCUCUGGCUCCCUCCCGGGCUCUGGGGCUCCCCGCUGGCUCCUUCCCUAGCUCCCCGCUAGCUCCCGUGCCAGCCCUGGCGACGCUCUGCGCACUGGGUGGGGGCAGCGCAGGGCCCUGGGCACGGGGUCCCCCCGGCCGCAAGGCCCCCAGGCCCAUGGAGCUGGUACCAGGGCUAGGCGCCCUGAGGAGACGGAAGCGGCUGCUAGAGGAGGAGAAAAGCCUGGCAGGCUGGGCUCUGGCUAUGGCUGGAGUGGGAAUCGGGAUGAUGGUGCUGCAUGCCGAGAUGCUGUGGUUUGGUCAAUGCCAGUGGGUUCCCUAUCUCUUCCUGGUGAAAUGUGGGAUCAGCAUCUCCACCCUUCUCCUCCUUGGGCUCAUCUUGGCCUUCCAUGCUAAGGAGGUUCAGCUCUUCAUGACGGACAACGGGCUUCAUGACUGGCGGGUGGCGCUGACCGGGCGCCAGGUGGCCCAGAUCGUGCUGGAGCUGCUGGUGUGCGGGGCGCACCCGCCCCCGCUGGGGGCAUGGGACACUCCUCCGUGCCUGCUCCAAUCGCGCCCUUGGCCAGUCUUCCUGAGCCAGGCCGAGGCCCUGCUGUCGCUAGCCAUGCUGCUGCGCCUCUACCUAGUGCCCCGGGCAGUGCUGCUCCGCAGCGGAGUGCUGAUCAACGCGUCCUACCGCAGCAUCGGAGCCCUCAACCGCGUGCGCUUCCGACACUGGUUCGUGGCCAAGCUGUACAUGAACACGCACCCAGGCCGGCUCCUGCUGGCGCUCACCCUCGGCCUCUGGCUCACCACGGCCUGGGUGCUCUCCGUGGCCGAGAGGCAGGCGAUCAAUGCCACUGGGCACCUGACAGACACUCUGUGGCUCAUCCCCAUCACCUUCCUGACCAUCGGCUAUGGGGAUGUGGUUCCAGGCACCGUGUGGGGGAAGAUUGUCUGUCUUUGCACAGGGGUUAUGGGGGUGUGCUGCACAGCGCUCCUAGUGGCAGUAGUGGCCAGAAAACUGGAAUUCAAUAAAGCAGAGAAACAUGUCCACAAUUUCAUGAUGGACAUUCAGUAUGCCAAAGAGAUGAGGGAUUCUGCAGCCCGAGUGCUACAGGAGGCCUGGAUGUUCUAUAAACACAGUAGAAGGAAGGAGUCUGGAGCUGCCCGGAGACACCAACGGAAAUUGCUAGCUGCCAUCCACAUAUUCCGUCAGGUCCGCUUAAAACAUCGGAAGCUCCGAGAACAAGUGAACUCCAUGGUGGACAUCUCUAAGAUGCACAUGAUCCUGUGUGACUUGCAAUCUGGCCUCAGCACUUCCCACAGAGACCUGGAGAAGCGAAUGGAUAUACUAGGUGGAAAACUUGACACCCUGACCCAACUCCUCAGUGCAGCCUUAGAACCUGGGCAGCCCCCAGAACCCAGGGAGGCCACAUAGUUGGUGAGGCAAACAAUGCCCAGGGCUUGCCCAAGGUCACGCAUCGAGUGCUGCUCAGGACUCCUUCACCAAUUCUCAUUCCAUACGAUGACCACUAAUCAGGAGUAUCCUCCAGGGGCAUGCUGGUGCCAGCUUGAACUGGAAAGAGCUGAUUGUUAAAUUUUUAUGGAGAACAUCGGCAAGCACUACAAAAUCAGGGAUUGAUCUAUCAUUUUGUUCAUUUCUAUACUUAGGGAAGUGAUGGGAAAACGUUAAUAUGAAUAUUAAACUUAAAAGAAUGUCAUUCACACUUUCCCCUCCCGACAAUUGGUGGUUAAAUCUUUCCUAGCUCAUCCCUAGCCAAGGCUUUGUCCUGGGCCCUCUUUUCUUUUCCUUCUAUUCUUUCUUCCUUGGUGAUCUCGCCACCUACCAAGGGUUCAAUUAUUAUCUCUAUAGACACUUCCCAGUUCUAGAUAUCUGACCCUAGUCUCUCUCCUGAACAGUAGUCACACACCACACCAUCUGCAUCUUGGGCGUCUCAGAUCCGGUGUCCCAUUGGCAUGUCAAACUCACUAUGUUCAAAACAAAACCCAUUACCCUCCCCCUCCCCCCAAACCAUUCUUUCUUUCAAUUCUCCUAUGACAGUGGAGGGCACCCCCAUCCCACAGUCACUCACACCUGCAACCUGUCAUCCUCAACUCAUCACUUUGUCCCCUCACAUAUCCAAUCUCUAAGUCUUCUUGUUUACAUCUUCCUAACAUC